UACGUAGGGGGCUAGCGUUGUCCGGAUUUAUUGGGCGUAAAGGGCGUGUAGGCGGCCUGGUAGGUCUGCUGUGAAAACUCGAGGCUCAACCUCGAGAUGUCGGCGGAAACCAUCUGGCUAGAGUCCGGAAGAGGAGAGUGGAAUUCCUGGUGUAGCGGUGAAAUGCGCAGAUAUCAGGAAGAACACCUAUGGCGAAGGCAGCUCUCUGGGACGGUACUGACGCUGAGACGCGAAAGCGUGGGGAGCGAACAGG
rnacentral:rRNA from 1 species